GAGUUUGAUCAUGGCUCAGAUUGAACGCUGGCGGCAUGCCUUACACAUGCAAGUCGAACGGCAGCACGGGAGCUUGCUCCUGGGUGGCGAGUGGCGAACGGGUGAGUAAUGCAUCGGAACGUAUCCUGGAGUGGGGGAUAACGUAGCGAAAGUUACGCUAAUACCGCAUAUUCUGUGAGCAGGAAAGCGGGGGACCUUCGGGCCCCGCGCUCUUGGAGCGGCCGAUGUCGGAUUAGCUAGUUGGUGAGGUAAAGGCUCACCAAGGCGACGAUCCGUAGCAGGUCUGAGAGGAUGAUCUGCCACACUGGAACUGAGACACGGUCCAGACUCCUACGGGAGGCAGCAGUGGGAAUUUUGGACAAUGGGGGCAACCCUGAUCCAGCCAUGCCGCGUGAGUGAAGAAGGCCUCGG
rnacentral:rRNA from 1 species